GACUACCCCAUCGCCACCCCGCAGACUGGCAACUUAAUGUAAAAGCAGUCAUUACUGCAGUCUUAAACACAGCCCACGAUGGCUCCUGAACCACGUAUUUCUCUUUGUUCUGUAAUUGGAAACAGGAUUCAGGAAAAAAAAAUGAUAUUUUUUUACCACAAGGAGAGAAGAACUCAAAAUGAAGCCAAAUCCAUCGAGGUGCGACUCUUCUCCUAGAUGGGACACCAGUCCAUCACAGACCCCACCAUCAGCAGACUGCAGUCUCUGUUCAAGAAGCUGCGUGGACUGGACUAUUCAGGACAACAGCCGUGUACGGUAUACUACAGUGACUCGAACCCACAGCCCCCCCCCGUGAGGCUGGAGACUUACCCACAAUGCUACACUGUUCUACUCGCUCUCUGACUUGAGGAAAACCUCCCAAUCCUAGCCUUGGUAAUCAACUCCCAAUGGAUGUGUGACUCAACAAGCCAAAAAUCUAAAAAAGGCGCUUGUUACACAACACAUUCAGUAGCGGGAGGAUUUCAUCUUUGACAAAGCCCGCCACUGGAUCUACACUUCCGACAGUUUGUGUUGGAGAAGAAAAAACGGCAAAACAGUCAGACCAAUUUCAGCCUCCUAACUUUUUUUUUAAUUAACUGUGCUUU